rnacentral:rRNA from 1 species
CUACGGAGGGUGCAAGCGUUGUUCGGAAUUACUGGGCGUAAAGCGCGCGUAGGUGGUCUGUUAUGUCAGAUGUGAAAGUCCACGGCUCAACCGUGGAAGUGCAUUUGAAACUGGCAGACUUGAGUACUGGAGGGGGUAGUGGAAUUCCCGGUGUAGAGGUGGAAUUCGUAGAUAUCGGGAGGAAUACCGGUGGCGAAGGCGACUACCUGGCCAGAUACUGACACUGAGGUGCGAAAGCGUGGGGAGCGAACAGGAUUAGAUACCCCUGUAGUCC